rnacentral:rRNA from 1 species
CUAAGUUUGAUGGCGACCGGCGCACGGGUGAGUAACACGUAUCCAACCUGCCGAUGACUCGGGGGAUAGCCUUUCGAAAGAAAGAUUAAUACCCGAUGGCAUAGUUCUUCCGCAUGGUAGAACUAUUAAAGAAUUUCGGUUAUCGAUGGGGAUGCGUUCCAUUAGGCAGUUGGUGGGGUAACGGCCCACCAAACCUUCGAUGGAUAGGGGUUCUGAGAGGAAGGUCCCCCACAUUGGAACUGAGACACGGUCCAAACUCCUACGGGAGGCAGCAUG